UAUGCUUCAAUCUUUCGGCUCCCUACUUUCGAUUCUAAACUUUCAUUCCACAAGUGUUUUCCUCCGUAGCAUGUCAUGACCAACAAUCCUUGAACUUGAGGACCUUUUAUCUUGAGCAACUUCCCGAGGUGAACGAUGACUCCCUGCCGAUAAAUGAGAUGUACUACUUUGCCAUGAAUGUUUCGUGGGUGAGACUGACAGAAGAUGCUGCUACGACUCCUCGACGGGGGUGUGACUGUUACAUACAACUGUGUAACAGGGGACAGGUGUAUUAGCUACGUGACGUCUCAAGGGUUCCAAUACCGCCUCCCAGAGGAACAAAUCCCGUCAACCAACGCAGCCAUCCCAUCCGCGACAAUUCGUCGCGCAGCCUGAAUCGAUUCCACUGACACAAACCUCCCUCCCUUCCACCCCGAAUCGCACUUUGCAUCACGAAUCGGGAGUGAAAAAGCUGGAAAUUCCUUGGCGUGCAAUCCGAAUUUGGAUUCUCUCUACCACACCAGUCGAACAGACACGGUAAGCUGAUAUUAGUACCUCGGCUUGCCUCAGAAGCAACUCGCGAGCUUGCUUUUGCCGUCAUCGACGGCGUAAUCGUAUCGAUCCUGAUUCGUCAACGUUGAUAAUCGUGUGCUAAUUUAAGCUUACCUUCAGAUUCAUUCAGGUUUCUGAAUGUCCAAGUUCAAGAUGUACGAGGCACUUGAGGUUGUGGCCGAGUGGGUACAACCCCAUUGAGAUGGUAUGGCCCCUAAUUACUGGUACUUGAAUGCGAACUCGAUGGAUUUACGUUGCUGCAUGCGCUGAAUCCAUCGAGUUUAACAUUACAACAUGGUCUCGGCACAUGUCUUCGAAACGAUGUGGAGGACUGUUCAAUAUGCUUGAUCUGAUCUUUGAAGGCCAUCACGAAAUCUCCAUAAAUGCAUGAUGGUUUGAAGUCCAAGUUCGGGUUGCAUUUGGACCCUCGACAAUAUGUUCUAUAUAGGACGAGGCUCCCAGAUCCUCUGAAACCCCUUCCCACCGUGUUCUGACUUAGCUGUCCAACUAGGAUCUAAGUAUACUUCUUCAGGAGGAACAGGGUGAUCUCUGCCCGAAUGUAAACCGCCUCGUUGAUAGCAAUGUUUCAAAGAACAAAAAAGUAAAUAAAGAGUUGAGACAAAGAACUAGCAAGGAUUCCACCCCUGUUCUGUGGAU